AAACGUAACAUCUGCACAACACCAUGUUCCUCUUCAAAUACAGCCGUACUUCAAUUUCAUCCAGUCUCUUUUAGGGGCCUCAAGGAGGUUUUCUUUGCUGGAUAUUUUAGAUUAAUCUCCUAAAGUUAAGUGAUUUAAUCCAUGCAAGUGAGUAAUGCCGCUGUCAGAGGAUGAACAGUAAUGAUUUGUUGUCGUACAGGGAGAGAAUGUUGGAUCCAAAACAGCGCCACCGAAUAUGCCGACAUGGACAGCGUCUCACACCGAGAAAUUCUUUCCAACUUCACCUCUUCACCUCCCGCCCGCCGCUCCUUGUCGGCAUGUGUGUCGAAUUGAGGCUCAUAUGAGCGCACAUGCUGUUCUCUGCUGCGGUAAAGUAUAUUAAAAAGAAAUUCCUCCACAGAUAGGUUCAAACACAACCACCCUGCCAGAUAAACACGUCUUCAUCUCCAGUUUCAUUUCACUUUCCCCUAAUGUGAGUUGGAUUCUCUGGAUGGGAACAAUAUGCCCAUGCACAAACGGGCGCAGACACACUGGCUGUUGGAGGGUUUUAUAGCUGCAGACCGGCAUCAUGACGUCAGACUCAUCUAAUCAGGCCUGAAUCAAGCGCUGCCUCCUCUGUCCAGAUGCAUCUGAACCAGAGCUUUGUCAGCCACCAACAAAAGACAACUGUGAGUGAAUGUAAGGGAGGAACAAAGACACAUGAGGGAGGGUGAAACUGUACGAGAUGAAUGAGUGUGUGGGCUGUAACAGCCCGACACCAUUGUUUAAAGCCAGGCAGAGAUGUGCACGCGUGGAAUACAUGCAUGGAACGGAAGCUUUUUCAGACAAGCAGUAGCAUUAAUGUUGCUGGACAUGCUGCCACCAGGGGGCAGAACUUGCAGCAACUCCAAAUAUUAAUAUUCAGAAUAUUGUCCAAGGAUUUAUUUCAUAAAAAUUACUGAACAAGAUGACGUCCUCACUACAUGAGUUAUUUUCUUUGGCAUGAACUGAACAUAUACCGUCAUUACGCCUUUUGUUAUAGAGCGAUUGAAAAUGGGGAAAGUGAGGAACAAUUCCAGUCAUUUAAUAUUAAGUUAUGACAGACUGCAGUCACUGUUUGUGGAAGAUAAGCUGGAGAGGAAUGAAGGUUAGCUGCAGACGGAAUACUUGUCUGUGGAUGAGAGGGAGCCAGGUGGACAGGUGAAGUUACAGGAUGCAGAGAUAAAGAAGGUCUGUCCAGGGCCAUGGAGAGUGUGAGAAAGAGGUGAAGAAGCGGGUGCAGGCAGGAUGCAAUCAUUGGUGAAAAGUGUCAGGUGUGAUGUGUGACAAAAGGGUGUCGGCGAGUAUGAAAGGAAAAGUGUGGUGAGGCCAGCAAUGUUGUAUGUUUGGAAUCAGUGGCACUGAGGAAAAGACAGGAGGCAGAGCUGGAGGUAGCAGAGAUGAAGAUGCUGAGCUUCUCUCUGGGAGUGAGCAGGAUGGAUAGGAUGAGAGGGACAGCGCAUGUGCUCAGGUGUUAGGAGACCAAGUCAGAGAGGCUCGAUGGAGAUGGUUUGGACAUGUACAGAGGAGAGAGAGAGAGCCAGUACAUUGGUAGGAAGAUGUUGAGGUUGGAACUGCCAGGCAGAAGGUGGAGAGGAAGGACAAAGAGGAGAUUGAUGGAGGUGGUGAAGGAGGACAUGAGGUUUGGAGGUUUGAGAGAAGAGACAGCAGAGGACAGGGGGAGAUGGAGGAGGAUGGUCUGCUGUGGCCACCCCUGAAGGGAGAAGCCAAAAGAAACAGAAGAGGUAGAACAGUCGAUAGUCACUGUUUAAACUAUUGGAAUCUAAUUUCUUGCUCUCUUUGAUAACCCAACAAUCCUGAGCUGAGCCACCUCUCAUCUAACACACCACCUGCUCCGUGUCACGGUGACAGCCUGAUUCAAAGUCUGCACACAGUGUUGAAAAUGUACUGGCUCCACUUUGCUUGUCACAAUAACUUGUUAGCCCCAAAUCAUUCCGUACUGACUCUACACAUCUAUAGCCUCGCCGUGGCUCAGCUUCGCAUCUCCGAGCACAGCUCCACUGUCACGGAAGCCCAUGUGGAACAGAUCAAUGCAACUGGAGGCCUUUGAAAUGUGGAGCCUCAGAACAAUUGAGAAAAGAACAUAGACACCAGAAAAGUAACGCAAAUCUGACAUGAAUAAAAGCAAAUCAGCAACAUAUGGCAGAACCCGAAAUGAAAGUCAUAGAUUAAGCUGCGAGACUUUAGAUUGAAGAGAGCGGCAUCACAUCUGGCAAAACAGGACUGAUAACACAGUGGGCUACAAUAAGCCCAAUAGAGGACUCUGUAAGAGUCAAUCCCCACCUGCUCCAUCCCCGUGUGGUAGUCAGCUGCAACUGCACGUCUCCAGAAACUGUGCCCUUUGCUACGUUAAGAACCUCUACACCUGCUCACUUCCACCUCUGAACAGCAAGCACUUGACCUCCCUGCUCCAGAUCCGUUUCAAGGCCAUGACCCUCAGCUGACCUUGACUCAUGUGCAGCUGUAUUUUCCACAGUCAAUUCCUCCACUAAACAACCUCCUGAUUCAGACCUGCGUUGGAGGAAAUGUAGGGUUAACAAUCGCCAAGAAGUCAAGCAGCGACACUCCUCCCAUGUAAAUCGACAAGUCUCUGUCACAAGGGAAGGGAAAAGCACCUCUGCGGCCGAGUCCAAGAAACCAGUGGAAUGUAUGCAUGAAUCAAACCGCAAGGAAGCGAGACCCUUCUUUUUCAGACUCAGCUGCACAAAAAGGCGAAACUCAAAACACAGUGUGAGAGAUGGGGCUAUUAUUUUUUUAUUGAAAAACAUGCAAGAGUUUUUUAAGCUCAACAAUUGGAUCAGUCGGUGUCUGGGUACACAGCAAUACUUCUCUGUAAGUCUGAGACCAUAGUGAAGAGUGAUGUCUAGUCGUGGGUAGAGGGUAAGCUUCCUUAAGAGAAGCGGUUUAAGAAUCUUUAGUCGAGGACCGAAGAGGUAGCGCAUUCAUGCGACACUCAGAGUAGAACUGCAGUCAUACCACAAUGAGAGAAGGCAUUUUCAGGGGCCCCCUGGCCCCUAAGAUCAAAUCUCAGGAAGUCUUUGCUCAAACUGCUGCCCCCAUGACUCCACCUCAGUUGAUAGAUAGAAAAUAAUAAUAAAUUACAUCGUCGUCAACAACACCAUCAGGGAAAAAUAUUGUCAACACACAAGUCAUAGACAGUGUGUUCCAGCAGCCUGUUGAAGAGGAAACACCGCCCUCUAAAGGUAGAAAGAGGCACCACAUAGAGAGAUUGUUCAUUCAUGUAGCUGAAAAGCUUGAGGCCGAUGUGUUUGACACACAUUCUGGUAAUAAUGGUGAGCAAAAGACUGAGAUCGGUGGGUUUCUCUGUGCAGAGCUGGGGUGAAGCACAUACAUUUCUCCGGUUUCGAUAACCUCUGUCGGAAGGUUGAACAGCAUCAGAAAGUACCACUAAAUAUAGGGAACAAUCAUUCUGAAAAACAAGGUGCUACAUUCUAUUUCACUUCCAAAAAAAGCAACGUUGGAGCUCCUUGUUAAAAACCUUGUCCAAACAAAGCAGUCCUUCACAGUCAGCGAUCUACUGACCCCAAAACCCUCUUGAAAUUAAAGACAAACAUUGUAAAGCUGCUUUUCUGCUCGAGUUUACUGUCAAAAGAUAUGAGAUAAUACCUGAAACUGUUUGCUGCAUCUAAAACCUCAUUAUUACAGCAUCGUUGAUUGUAAACGUUUUAUUGUGUGCUCUAUUGUGUUGGACAACCAUGAAGAUGAAGACGGAAAUUCACUUUAAAAAUAUGUUUCUUAUUGAGUUUAAUUAUCUUCUGACAUCAGUAUAAGUUUUGGCCGCUCGAUUCACGUUUUUCUUUUCUUUUUUUUAUUUUAUUCAGCACCAUUUUGGCUCAUCCAGACAAUACUGCGUUGGUUUAUGUCUUAGAUCAUAAUUCGAUUAGGUAAAAUAAAAUGAGAAGAAAAAUUUUUCUGUGACAAGUAACUUCAGAAGCAGAAGGGAAACUCCGGACCAAGGUGCGAAAUGGUCUUCUUAAUAUAAAUUUACUUCUGUCAUUUCUUUAUGUUACGUUGAAAAGAUCUAGUCAAACAUUGACUUUGACAUCAAAUACUUUACAUUUGCUGCUGCAUUUGAUGGAUUUUUUUAUUUAUUUUUUUGGCAACACAUCAAUUUGAAAAUGAUUUUGUUCUCCAGAAAUGUGUUUUACUUCCUGUUGUGUAUUUGUAGGUGUCCAAAGGAAAUGUGACGAAGUGUGAAAUAUUUCGCAAAAAAUGAACUUGAUAUGACAUGGAAGAUGGCUGGCAGUAGAUUGUCGAUCGGGGGAAUAUAGACAUAGAUAAUUUAAUUUAAAGAUGAAGUCAAAUUCAAUAAGUGCAUAGUAAUCAUACCAAUAUUAUUAUUAUAACUAAAAUGUCAAUUUUACUUUCAUGAUGACAACGCAAUAAUGACACAUUUCCCCUCCAAAGAUUGGUGGCGCUCCAUUUGUUUAACAGUUGUACCAUCAAGAUGUCGGCGCUCUUCCUUCCCCCCUUAUCAGCUCAACAGUUCUCUGAAGAACCUCAGUAAAACCUGCUUCUGGGCUCAAUGCAAAUUUGCUGCAAGUCUAUUCCUGUAUUUCAGCAUUUGUUUGAUUGAAGAUUUGGAUUCAUGUUCAUGUUGUUUCCCCCAUAUUCUUUUCACUUUCCUUCAGGUUCGUUGGGUUUACAAUGAACUUUCGGAACCUUUAAAAACACACCUCUACAGGGAGAGUUGUUAUGAAAACGAUGUGGGAAAUAAGGUUCCUCUCACGUCUCUGGUGUUUUCUGGCUUCAGACCUCAAACAUAACAGCAGCUAAUUCACCUUUAAAACCACUUCUCAUUGACGUCUUUGGUUCAUUUGAACCAGAAUUCACUUGUGCAUGUGUGGAGUUGAGUGUGAGACGCACGUUCAACCAUGAUGCAGAAGAAGGUUGACGAGGAACGAGGUCAGAUUCGGAGAAACCGAACAGGACAAACCCUAAACAGAAGAGUCGCGAGUGCAGCACUGGUUCAACCUUCUGCUCUGAUCUGCAGCGACUUCCGUCAGUGUUGCACACAGACACCUCCACUACAGCAUGGGAAACUGCAGAUCGAGGCUGAAGAAGAAGAGAAAAAGCAAAGGAGAUUCUGCAGAACAUUCAAACAAGUCGUCUCCGGACCUGAACUACGUCACGCUCGACCACAGCCUCUCCAAGCCGCGCCACAGGAGAAGGAAAACUUCCUCAGACGAUGGGUGUGAAUAUGCCACGGUUGUCACUCCGGGCACGAUUGACUCUGAGUCUAAAGAUGAUGACUAUGUGCUCAUGACCUAGAAAUGUCAGCUGACUUCCUUCUGACACUGCUGUGUGGCCACUUUGGCUUCACACCUUCUGAAAGCUUUAUUAUUUUUGAAAACUGAAUUGAGUAAAGUUGUUUUUGACAGCUUUUUUGAAUUUUUGAAAAAAAUAUUUCUGUCAUUUAAAUGAGUGACGUAUGGAAGAGGAUUAGGGCCAGUGAAGAAAAAAAUAAUACUUGGCAGAAUUCUGACUUUUUUCUCAGAAUUCUGACUUUAAAGUGAGAAUUCUGACUUUUCUCUUUAAACAGCAGUCUGAGGAUUCCUGCCCCACAAUUCAUUGCUCAACGUCACAAAGUGACAAUUCUGAGACAAAAGUCAGAAUUCUCACUUUGAAGUCAGAAAAUUGAGGGAAAAAAAGUCAGAAUUCUCAGUUUAAAGUCAGAAAUUUGAGGUAAAAAAAAAAGUCUGAAUUCUCACUUUAAAGUCAGAAAUUUGAGGGAAAAAAAGUGAGAAUUCUCACUUUAAAGUCAGAAAUUUGAGGGGGAAAAAGUCAGAAUUCUCACUUUAAAGUGAGAUUAAAGUCAGAAUUCUCACAUUAAAGUCUCUCUUUUAAGUCCUCACUGGCCCUAAUCCUCUUCUUUAGUGACGUGAGUGAUCUGGUGUUUUUUUCAGCGGAGGAGGAGGAGGCCCCUGGGCGGACCCAAGACAUGCUUCAGAAAUUUAGUCUCUCAGUUGAUUUUGGAACGUCUAGGUACCGAUGAGGGGUUGAUGAGGUUUCAUGAAACAGUGACCUGAUUUUCAGAGGCCACUAGAUGGAGCUCUUUAAAUUAUGUGAGGUCUCAAUGAAUAAGAUGCUCAGGUCCAGACAUUUUACAACACACAGCGCCAUCUGGUGGCCUCGGAAAAUCAGGACACAGUUUCAUAACACCUCGUCCACCCAUCACUUCUAAGUACUACUCAAGAGGAGCCAGAGGAGCGGGAAUACUGGGCUGCAGUUGCUGCCCCCGCGACGUGACCUCAGCCAAGUGGAAUAAAAAAAAUCUUCAAAUUCAGAAAUAACAUUUAAGUAUUUUACAAAAGCUCCUCUGACGAGAAGUGAGGUGAGCUACUUUCUGGUCAGAUAUAUUUUUGACUCUUCCAUUUCCAAAUCCAGACAGCGAAUACUGUGGCAGCGAUGGAUCAAGAUGACACUAUUUAAAACAAGUCCUUGGAAAGUGCAUCAUGUCUCAUCACAUAUUCACA